UGAUGACACUUUCUCCGGAAUCUCUGUACCAUUUUGAUGAUAAUGCUGAACCCUUUUUCUGAUGACUGCAGUUAAAUUUUC
ensembl:snoRNA SNORD68 small nucleolar RNA MBII-202